GAUGAACGCUGGCGGCGUGCCUAAUACAUGCAAGUCGAGCGAACAGACGAGGAGCUUGCUCCUCUGACGUUAGCGGCGGACGGGUGAGUAACACGUGGAUAACCUACCUAUAAGACUGGGAUAACUUCGGGAAACAGGAGCUAAUACCGGAUAAUAUAUUGAACCGCAUGGUUCAAUAGUGAAAGACGGUUUUGCUGUCACUUAUAGAUGGAUCCGCGCCGCAUUAGCUAGUCGGUAAGGUAACGGCUUACCAAGGCAACGAUGCGUAGCCGACCUGAGAGGGUGAUCGGCCACACUGGAACUGAGACACGGUCCAGACUCCUACGGGAGGCAGCAGUAGGGAAUCUUCCGCAAUGGGCGAAAGCCUGACGGAGCAACGCCGCGUGAGUGAUGAAGGUCUUCGGAUCGUAAAACUCUGUUAUUAGGGAAGAACAAAUGUGUAAGUAACUAUGCACGUCUUGACGGUACCUAAUCAGAAAGCCACGGCUAACUACGUG
rnacentral:rRNA from 1 species